AUCAAUAUUGUGACUCUCAGACAUGUGUCAGCCACAGGGCUCUCCAGGGCUCCUUCUCUGGGGAUUCUUGUGAAGAUGGAAAAUUAGCCUCCAAUCCUGGGCAGUCUGAGUGAUGGCUUUCCCAGAGGCAGGAGGGUGAGAGGAUCAGAGUGUCAGAGCUGUCAGAGACCUCAGAUUCCAGCUCACCCAAUUCCCUCAUCUUAGAGAUGAGGAAACUGAAGCCAGCGAGGGAGAGCCACUUUCCUCAGCUCACCCAGGAAGUGUGAGGUGGAGACAAGGUCAGAGUCCUUGCUUCUUAGUUCCUACUCAAUGCUGCUUCAGCCUCAUCCAUCUCCCACUGCCAGGAUUGUUAUUGUUUUUGUUUUCUUGUUUACUUUGUACAAAGAUUCUCUCUUUGAAUUUCUCCACCUGUACAGUGGUAGAGUUGCUCUAGGCCAGCACUGUCUAAUAGAAAUAUGUAAGCCUCACAGGUGAUUUUAAAUUUUCUUUCUUUUCCUUAAAUAAACUGGUGAAAUUAAUUUUUAAUACUUUGUUUAACCUAGUAUAUCCAAAAUAUUAUUUCAACAUGCAAUCGCUGUAUGAUUGUUAAUGAGAUAUUUCACGUCGUUUCUUAUUGAAUCUUUGUGAUCUCAUGUGUAUUUUACAGCACAUCUUAAUUUCAGCUCACCACAAUCCGAGUGCUCAACAGCCACACGUGACCAGAGGCUGCAGUGUUGGACAGCAGAGCUCUCGGGCAAUGGUUUCCAGUGCAAGUCUGCCAGUCUACGAUGAAAAGUUUCCUCAUGAUGUAACUAUCCUCCUAAUCACAGAACAAGAAGGUGCCAGGACUACAUUAAUGAAACAGAAGCCGUUUUCUAGUCCCCUGUCAUUGGCUGCAUGGGAGCUUGGAGAAUUAGAAAUAAUUCACCUUUAUUUACAUCUGUGUCCUGCCUCCAGGGGACUUCGCAAGUUUUCUGGCAUCUGGGAUAUAAAGGUGAGCUAUAGCUUUAACACCGCAAACUUCACACAUACACCCCAUUGCACACCCUGCAAACACACAACAGGAAAAGAAUUCUGAAUAUAUGAACAUGCAUCUUGAGGUUUCUUGCUUUGUCUGGACUUCCAUGAGCUGGAGACAUCUACUUUGGCUUCCUUCUGCCUUUUAUUUUAUUUUAUUUUAUUUUUCUGAGGAAGAUUCGCCUUGAGCUAACAUCUAUUGCCAAUAUUCCUCUUUUUGCUUAAGGAAGAUUGUCCAAUCUUCCUCUCUUUUGUAUGUGGGUUGCCGCCACAGCAUGGCUGUGAGCAAGUGGUAUAGGUCUGCCCCUGGGAACUGAACCUGGGCUGCCAAAGCAAAGUGUGCUGAACUUAACCACUAGGCCAUGGGGCCAGCCCCCUUCCUUCUGCCUUUUAAACUUUCCUUGUACCCCUGUUCCUCUUCCUAAACCCCUAACUCCUGCCAGCAUAUCUGCUCUCCAGGCCUUGAGAUCAGCUCUUACUUUGACCUGACAAAAGAAUAACAACUAAUAAAAAUUACCUAGUCUUUUUGUAUGUUUGAAAC
rnacentral:lncRNA from 1 species